UGUCUGGAAAUAGGGAAUCUUGUUUACUGAACUAGGUCCAGAAACUCAUUUCUCUAUCACUCAUGGCCCUUUCCAAACCAGGUGAUGCCUGGGUUUAGAAAUUAUAUGCCUUCCAGGGGCAUGUAUCUGGAACUACCAGCUUCAUGGGCCUGCAAUGAGCUAUAUUAGAUAAAUAAAGAGAAGCACAUUAAGUUCUCCAGAUCUGUGAGUUCUGCUGGCUUGACAUAAGAGACAUGGGCCUCUCAAACCUGGGUUAAGUUUGCGUCCCAUGUGAGGGAUGGUGAAUCCAUUUGGAGAAUCCCGGGCGAUGUUGACGACCAUAGCUGAAGUUUACUGAGUGCUUAACCACGUGCCAGGCACUGUGUCAGGACUUCUGGAGUGAGCUGCUUAAAAUGGCCAGAUGGAAGUCGCAGCUUCCAGUUCAGAGGAUCUUUUGUUAUCCUCCGGCAGAAGUGUUCACCUCUCAUGAGUCAAGACCAUGAAUCCACCACAGCCUGAGGUUGCAGGCGCAGGAAGCACAAAUCUCAUAAGUGGGUCCCUGGGUGUCAUGAUUACAGCGGCUGACACUACUCUUAGUGUUGGAGUAGAUGGUCUGAUAUCUACUCAAGAUUUUUCUGAAGAAGGGUUGUCUCUGGUCUUCAAACAGCAGGCUUUAGAUCCUGAGGAAAACUCAAACACCAUCCUCUUCUAGCAUGGUGAGGAAGGGAACAGGGAGGGUGGCUUGGCUCACUGUUUUUCGAUCUCUGAUUAGCUACUCACAAGUGGUGACAGAGUAGGGUCAAGGAGUUGGAGCCCCAGAACCUACCCUCCCCCCGACUUUUAUCAGAGCAGCUAUACUUUUAUUUGUUCAUAUAUACCUUCAUUUAAAAGUGCAUUUUUUUGUACUUGCUAUGUUCCAGUCUAAUACAUUUUUCUGGAACUCUGAUUGCUAGGCCAUUAAAUGAUGAGCACAUUUGUUCAUUGGCAGAGAGAAUCAUUUGCUUUAAAAAAAGUUUGAAAUCCUCUGCUGUGUACAAUAUUUUCUCAGUGUCCUUUUCAGAAGGUGGAAGCAUUUUCCUGGAAAGGUAAUUUUGGCUGUAGUUAAGUCAGAGCCAUCUGCGUGUCUGCCAGGAGCCUGGCUUGGCUGGAGGAGGGGCUGGCCUGGCUUCCUUGAGGUCUGGGGGGUGGGGUAAGGGGUACAGGGCAGGGAUUUUGAGAGGUCUGACUGGUUCACAACAUCACCCCAGGACCCUCCUGCUCAAGUCCACCCUCAUGGGUCAGCAGGGUGGGGGUGGUGGAGUCCUAAACCCUGGCUUCUGGGAUGCCCAGCUGCUUGUUGGCAUUGCCCUUCCUUCUCCGUCUGCAAACCCAGAGCAUUCCUGCUGGCAGUGGCUGCCGCCAGGAUGGAGCACAGCAGGGAGUUUGACUGCUUCAUUUUUCCUUCUGCUCCUUGGCAUUCUUCUGUCUUCUCUCCAAGGCCUGGUGCUCAGCAGCCUGGCCGAAGAGGGCAACAUCCACCUCCUACCCUUUCCAGUCUCUUUUUCAUCCCAUUAGUGAUGGAUGGCCGUGUUUUCUCUUCUGUUAUUUCUCAGGUACUCUCACACACAAGAGGCAGACAUUGGACUAGAAUUCAGGAGUCGGGGUUCAGCAGACCAGCACAGUAAUGUUGAGAAAGUUGCCUCUCCUCUCUGGGCCUCUGUUUCCUCCAGAGAGAAAGAGAGAUUUGGCCCCAGCCAGCCCCAAACCAGCUAUCCUCUGCCCCCUCCACCGUUGGUCCACAAACCCCCAUGGAGACAGAGCCCUUCCAAGGGUCUAGCCUGAGACCUGCUCUGUCUUUGUGGAAAAGGAGAUUAGUAAGUGUUAGACAGGUAUUAAAGGGUAAACACCAACCUAAGGCUUCCUUUUAUAUAAUAAGGAUUGCAGACAAUUGAAGGGGAGAGGUUUUUCCCAUGUUGCAAAUCAGUGUUUUAAUGCCUGUUUUGUGUCUCACCUAAAAUGAUUAGCAUCACAGGGACGGAAGGGGAAACACUGGGAUAGGAACUCUAGAGGACCUGUUUGCAUUCUGAAUUUCUGUAAGUAUUUAGUGUCUGUGUCCAUACUUCUUCUGAGUCAUUCAGAUGCCCCUUAUUUUGCUUGUCCUUGUAUCCAUUCCAGGCCAAUACCACCACGGACGCGAAAUACACUUGAGAGCUGGGUAUGGAAGGACACUAAAGUUCUCACGUGAGAUUUCUCUUCUCCCUCCUGGCCACCCUUGUACCUCUGACUUUUGUGUGAUUCUGAGUAUAUAGGUGUUAAAAAUGCAAGCAAACUUACGUUAUAGGAAAAGAAUUCUUGAGAUGAAUUGCUCUUGGGACAGAAGAUGGAUGAAUAUGCAGAAUAUGUUAAACGGCAUCAAGCAAGUAUUUGUUGGAUACUUAUGUCGAGACCAGUACAGCUCCAGAGGCUGGGGUACCAGCAGUGAGGCCGGCCAAUGGGCAGGGAGACAGGCCAUAGACAUCAGUAGUGGAGGGGGGGCCUGGAAGAAUAAUACUCCCCGACAAAGAUCUCCAUGUCCUCACCGUCAGAACCUGUGGUUCUCUGGUGUUAUGUGGCAAAGGGGAAUUAAGGUGGUGGGAGGAAUGCCCGUAGGGUGAUGAGAUUAUCCUGGGUUAUCUAGGUGAGCCCUGUGUAACCACAGGCCCUUAAAUAUGGAAGAGGAGGGCAGAAGAGUCAAAAAUGGCAUUGUGAGAAAUACUCGACCAGCCAUUACUGGCUUUGAAGGUACAAAUGAAGCAAGAGUCAAGGGCUGAAGGCAGCUUUCCAAAGCCAGAAAGGACAAGAUGAUGGCUAGAGCCCCCAGAAAGGAGCACAGCCUUGCUGAUGCCUUGACUUCAGCCCAGUGAGAUACAUUUUGGAUCUCUGACUUCCAGAACUGUAAGAUAAUAAAUUCGUGUCAUUUUAAAUCACUAGGUUUGUGGC